GAUCAUGGCUCAGGAUGAACGCUAGCUACAGGCUUAACACAUGCAAGUCGAGGGGCGGCAUGGUCUUAGCUUGCUAAGACCGAUGGCGACCGGCGCACGGGUGAGUAACGCGAAUGCAACCUGCCCGAUACCGGGGUAUAGCCCAUGGAAACGUGGAUUAACACCCCAUAGUACUUUUAUCCUGCAUGGGAUGUGAGUUAAAUGUUCAAGGUAUCGGAUGGGCAUGCGUCCUAUUAG
rnacentral:rRNA from 1 species